AUACAAAUUCUAAGGUAGUCAUUGGUGUCAGUUGUAGCAGUGUUUGUGUUGUGGAUGGCUCAUCGGCCGUACCUGGACCUGACACAGGAAUGUGUGUAUGUUGUGUAAUGGGAGCUUGUUAGAAGACGACACGCGUAAGAUGCAAUUUUAAGCCUCCUAUGCUUUACUUUUUGCUCGCACAUUUAUACAAUCCGGAUCUGGUGUUCUCUGAUUUAAAAAAAAAUUCUUGUCUCAUUAACCGUUCACUUUUCUUACUACCCUCUAAUACUUCGCUUCACUUGUUUGAUGUUUAAAAAAUAUACAUAUAGACAUUUAUAUAUAUUUAUAUAUAUUAUUUCUAACCUGCAUUCGAUUCGUAUUUGUCUGUUUACCGACUUUUAUCUACCAGACAGUCAGUGAUAAUAUGUAGAUAGAUAGAUAUGACAUUUGGAAGUUGUUAUGCUGUCUCUAUCUGUCUAUGUUUUGAGGUGAUUAAGAUACUCGCUUCUCAAGUGGAUAUAGAUUCUCUACCCGACAGUGUUUUUUAAAGGAUGCUUGAUUUGGAGGUAAACAUUACAUCAAUUACAAACGCCAAUAUGUAUAUGUACACGCGCACCUGCACACACGCACAACACACAUUCUUGUACAGGAUAUUUCUAAAACGGGGUGAAGGGUUUCGUACCGACUUUAUCUGUUUGUGUGUGUGUGUGUGUGUGUGUGUGUAUGUAUAUAUAUGAGGAUCUUUAUUGAAUCUGUUUUUGUGUGUUUGUAACUGUGGUUCUGUUGUAACUUUGAGUGUGAAUGCAUGUAAUUGUGUGUAAGAGAGACAGACAGAGGGUGCGAGAGAGAAGGAACCUUCCACUUCCGACCGACGCAAAACGUUUUCGUGCUGUUUAUCCUCUCUCGUCGUCGUCGUCAGCAGCUCGGGUGGGUUUCAUUUCUGAACCGUUUAUCGAACUUAUUCGUCGACAGCCGUCCAGCACUUCCUGUCCCGAAUAUAGCUUUUGUUUCUUGACUAUAAUAUCGAUGAUGAAAAAUACAUUUUGCACCUCCAUACAGAUCGAAAUAACACGUUCCUCAAACACAUCCAUAUGAUUGCUCGUUCAGCUUGGCUGGUUUAUGGAAGAGGUAUAUAUAUAUAUAUAUACAUACAUAUAUGUUUGUGGAUUUUUAGAUUAUUCGAGUGGUAGAGUGAAAAAAACCUCUCCAGUUUAAAAUUUUCUGCAAGCCGAUAUCUGUGUAAGCGCUUCAUGUGGUAUACACUAGGGUUAUGUACCCGAACACACACUAUACAUAAAUAUGUAUAAGGAUCAAUGCUGGAUUUAAGCAUAAGCUAAACAAGUUACAACUUAGGGGUCUCAAAAUAAUUAGAAGACAUAUAUGUUAAGCCAAUUUUAUGAGAUGUUCUGAUGUAAUAUAUUUUUUUUUUUACAAUGGGGGUGGAGGCCUUCGGGUUUUAUUGUAACUUAGGCUUCACCAUGUCUAAAUCCUCCGCCGCUGACGAGCAUAUUUAUUAACUCUUCCAAAACAAAUUAAGGUUAUUGCAAAUAUAUUCUGCUAACUUGUGACCUCCCCCCCUCCAGCUCCGAAUAUAUAUAUAGCAACUGGUGUUAUUUCCUUCCUCGGUGCUUUCUCGUCAUUACAGCUGCUGGGACACGGCCACCGUCCAUUGAAGAAGAACACAUUUGCUUGACUAUUAAUUUUGUCUACAAACUCUAAUUUGAAUCUAUUACUACUUAUAGCUCUCUAACUAACUCUCCAACUGUAUUUGCAUAUGUGAAUGCUAAUUAUUACAUACACACGUCUUCUCUAUUCAAAUAUUUAAUCCAUUUUACUACUCAAUAAAUUCCACGCGCUAUAAAGAUUGACACACACACACACACACACACAUUCACAUAUAUUUAUUGAUGUUUGUUUAUAAAAGCUUUCAUACACCAGUCUCUCUAACCUCAACUGUUCUAUAUCUCAUUUUUAUAAAAAAAAAAUUCUCCAUCUUACCGUCUCAUGGUUGUGUCUAUAAGUGUAUAUACAUACACCCAUAACAACUAAAACACACACAUAUAUAUAUAUAUAUAAAGAAUACUGCCUAUCUUAGUCUAUGUUAGGUAUCUCUAUACAUGCCUGUUUAUAUCCAUGAAAGUUGGAGCAGAUGAGUGUGUGCGCCCGUAACCUCAAUUUAGCUGUUAUACAUACAUUAUAUAUAUAUAUAUAUGUGUGUGUGUGUGUGUGCGCGCACAUGUGUGUGUGUGUGUGUUCUGUGGUCGUUUAUCUGUUGUGGGGAAAGUUGAAGCGAAUUCCCUUAUCCUUAUCGACGUUUAUUAUGUAGACGAAGGUUAAUUGGUGAUGAUGGUGGAGGAGGAAUUGGCUUGGGGGCGGAGAAGGAAUAGCCAUUUAUUCACAUCGUUGCUCUGUUCCUUUUCAUCCAUCCAUCCACACACACACACACACACACACAUACAUAUUGCUUUUUAGCUUCUGUCAGAUAUCAAUAUUUUGAUUACACUUCUUUGGUCAUUUUUCUUUUGCUUCUUCGUCUGUAGUAAUAAUUAAAACAUUUUCUAUGAAUUAAUUUCACUGUCUUUUUCUAUAAGCUAAAAUAAAAAUGAAGUAAAAAAUUAUUACAUAUUGUUUAUCUACUGUUAAGUGAUUUGGUAAUAAUUUUUGUAAAUAUCUAUCUUUCCAUCAGCGGAACUAAGCGCAGUGACGAUUUUACAGAAUUAUUACUUUAUUAUUUUCCAUUAAUUAAACAAUGUCUUUCUCGUUUGCUGUAUGUAGUAUUUUAGCUUCAAGUUAAUUAAUUGCGCUAUUUCGGCUGUCCACUUGUUAGCAAUCCCAACAUGUCGGACAUUUCAUUAUGGUGUUAAUAAUAUUAUCACCAUCAUCACGAUUAUUUCAGUAGUUUUUUUUAUAAAUAUUAUUUUUAUUUUGUCUUUUAACUGCCGCUACUGCUGCUGUGCUGGAGUUGUUGAAUCAGAAUACUACUUAGCGGCAUCACAUCACUCUUCUCUAGUUAAUGUCGCACUUAAAUACUUACUGAUGGAACAGACAGAAUUUACAAAGAGCUAGCCUCUUUCUCUAAUAUAAUAUACAUAUAUAUACAUAUAUAUAUAUAUAUAUAUAUAUAUAUAAAUACUUGCACAUAGGCAGUGCUCUGGGUGCGCGCGCGUGCGUGAUUAUUGUUUGUCUUAUUUAAGACUUGAGUUAGAUCCAGCUGUGAAUGGGACACUUUCUGUUGCCAUCCCCUCUGCUUCAGUUCUUGCCGAACACGCUGGUACAUUCGUAUAUAUACACACACACACAGAUAUACAUAUAUAUAUAUAUAUAUAUAUAUAUAUAUAUAUAUAUAUAUAUAUAUAUAUAUAUAUAUAUACCUGUGUGUGUGUAUAUAUAUAUAUAUCUAUCUGUGUGUGUAUUAUGUGAGAGAAAGAAUAAAAAGCCUGUGUACUACUUUUCCUAUGUUAAACAAUUGAGUGACUUCAGUGAAUCUAUUUUUACUAAACAUUUCGAAAAUUAGUUCUCAUAGUAUUAUUUUUUUUUUAGGGGGGUGGAGGAGGCUACAUAGGGGUGUAUACACACACAUAUACACACAUAGUAAUACUGUCAAAGACGGUCUCUGGUUAGACUUAUUUAUACAAUACUGUCAUCCAUCCUAUUUAACCGUAUUCAAUU
rnacentral:lncRNA from 1 species